rnacentral:piRNA from 1 species
UGAAUGUUAAUCAUAGCCCUAAACAUUCUU